AUUUUGUUUUUAGUUAAAUACGUAAUUACAGUGUAUUUCAUGGCUACUGAGGCCAAUUUCUCUAAAAACAAUUCGAAUAAAGAAAAAGAAAUGUAUCUUAUGCCAAAAGAAACCAAACCAUUUCAAUUUCACGGGACAAAAGAAGAAGACUUGAAUAGUCAACUCGAGUCUACUUCCAACCAUUUCAAUUCUCUGUUUAUCCGUCAAUCUCAUUUUCUUCCUCAAUCCUCUUCACGUCUCUUCAUCCAUUAACCUCCAAUACUUUUAACUAUUCUCACACCCUAGAUUUUCCGUCAAAGUUAUGGAGAAUCUCUGUUUUCCGAACUCUGUUUCUAUCUUUAUGAAGAUGGUGGUUAUUGUUCUUCUUUCUCAUCACACUCUUUCUGCUACUUCUCCAUAUUCUCGACCCGAGAAGUUUUACGUCAACUGUGGGUCGGAUUCUAAUGUCAUUUAUGGUAAUCGGACCUUUGUCGGAGACAUGAUCUCCGAAGGUAACUCUGUUUCCUUCAACGGUAAAGGAACUGAAGCCAGCAACCAAUCUGGAUCAAGCAUCUAUGGGACGGUUAGGAUAUUCAGACACCCUUCUUCUUACAAGUUCCAACUCGAUUCUGUUGGUCUACACUUUGUGCGUCUCCAUUUCUCUGCUGCCUCUUCUCAAACAGAGCUUUUAACUGCUCGUUUCACAGUCUCUGCUACAUCUGGUUCAACUCAUCACUUCAAAGGUUUCCCGGUUCAGAAUUUUAAUGAGACUCCACGAGUUGAGGAGUUUCUCCUGAUGAUUGAUUCACCCAAGUUCGAAAUUCGAUUUGAGCCUGAACGUUCCUCUUUAGCUCUAAUCAACGCCAUUGAAGUGUUUUCUGCUCGUAAUGACCUCAACAAUACACCAGAAUCCGAAAAGAACCUGCAUACGAUUUACAGAUUAAACGUAGGAGGCAGUAAAAUCACACCGGAAAACGACACCUUGGGAAGAACUUGGUCGAUAGACGAUGACUUUCUCUACCGAAAAGAUUCUGCAAAGAACAUUUCAUCAACACAAAAGCCCAACUACGAGACAGGGUCAGCAUCAGCAACAUCAGACACUGCUCCAGAUUUUGUCUACCAGACAGCUAGAACGAUGAACCGUAGCUCUAACGAAGGGGUGGCAGGGGGGGUGUUGAUGAACGUUACAUGGUCAUUUAAGGUGAGAAAUAACUCUAGACACUUUAUCAGGGUUCACUUCUGUGAUAUAAAGGAUGAAACACAAGACCCCGACUCAGAUUUCUAUCUCUAUGUAACCGGACAAUCACGAAGAGAUGUAAGGCCUUCAGUGUACGUUAGGUUGGUGACUCCAUUUUAUAUUGACGUUAAUGUCUCUGAUGGUUUUGAAUUCUUGAAUGUUAGCAUUAGCGCCAAGGAUUCCACCAAGGAUGCUGGGUUUCUGAAUGGUCUGGAGGUGAUGGAGUUUUUGAAAACAUCUUCACCACAUGAAAGUAGUUCUCGGGUUUACAUCAUUACUGGUUGUGUUGCUGGUGGAUCGAUUCUGGUCUUGAGUUUUCUGUUUGUGGUUUGUUUGUUCCGGAUGAGAUCUAAGACGGAGAAGAAGCGAGACACUGAGGUCACUGUAUGGUCUCCUUUGGCAUUGCACAGAGGUGGGAGUUCCGACAACAGACCUUUUGAUCUGGUUCAUAACUCUCCACUGCGCACCAAUAUUCCUUUUGAUCCAGUCUACAACUCACCAUUGCGCAACCUAAACUUAGGCUUGAAGAUUCCUUUUACAGACAUUCUGAGAGCUACAAACAACUUCGACGAGACGUGGUUGAUUGGGAAAGGCGGUUUUGGAGAUGUGUACAAAGCAAUUCUUCCAGAUGGAAGCAGAGCAGCUAUCAAGAGAGCCAAGACGGGUUCAGGACAAGGGAUAUUAGAGUUUCAAACAGAGAUCCAAGUCUUGUCAAGAAUCCGACACAAGCACCUCGUUGCUCUAAAGGGCUACUGCGAAGAGAACUCGGAGAUGAUACUUGUCUACGAGUAUAUGGAGAAAGGUACGCUUAAAGAGCAUCUAUACGGCUCCGACUUACCUGCAUUGUCAUGGAAACAGAGACUAGAGAUAUGCACUGGAGCAGCCAAAGGGUUACAAUAUCUCCACAGUGGCUCAGAAGGCAUCAUUCACAGAGACGUCAAAUCUACAAACAUACUGCUAGACGAGAACAAUGUGGCUAAAGUUGCAGAUUUCGGACUCUCCAAACUGGCGGUUAGGAAUCAAGAUUCGGUCAAUAUCAGCACAUACAUCAAAGGAACGUUCGGCUACCUCGAUCCUGAGUAUCUUGAGACGCACAUCUUAACGGAGAAAUCAGAUGUGUACGCGUUCGGAGUCGUUCUACUCGAGGCCUUGUGCGCGAGACCGGCUCUGGAUCGUUGCCUUCCUCACGAGCAAGUGAACCUAGCGGAAUGGGCGAUGUUCUGCAAAUCGAAAGGGAUACUCGAUGAGGUCUUGGAUCCGAAGUUGGUAGGUCAAAUCGAACCGAGCUCUCUGAGGAAGUUCAUGGAGAUCACUGACAAGUGUUUGAAAGAGUACGGAGAAGAGAGGCCGAACAUGGCGGAUGUGAUUUGGGAUCUGGAGUAUGCUCUACAGCUUCAUAUGAUGCCGAUUCAAAGAGAACCUCAUGAAGAUAGCUCGGUGACGAUCUCUGAUGGUGGAGGUGGAAGCUCGUUGGUGGUUCCGAGGCUGAUGGUGAGUGAUUCGUUUAGCUCGAGCUCGUUUGUUCAGAAGAAGAGUAGCUAUGGAGGUACAGAUUCAUCGGAGACUCAGGUUUUCUCCCAGUUGAAGAUCUCCGAAGCAAGAUAAGCAAGGAGCUGUGGCGCCAACUGGUCAUGUUGUAUUCUUUUGAUUUCCACGAGCAACGAGCUGCUUGUGCAAGGGAAAACUUUGAGCAGACGGUAUCAUUAGUUUAGUAACUAUUGAGGUUAGAGACAUUAAGGGACAAGGCUUCCAUGAGAAACUGUCG